AACGAACGCUGGCGGCAGGCUUAACACAUGCAAGUCGAACGCGUGCAGCAAUGCACGAGUGGCGCACGGGUGAGUAACGAGUGGAUAUCUGCCUUUUGGUUCGGAAUAACCCCGGGAAACUGGGGCUAAUACCGGAUGGUUCCUACGGGAUAAAGAUUUAUCGCCAAAAGAUGAGUCCGCGUCCGAUUAGCUAGUUGGUGAGGUAAUGGCUCACCAAGGCGACGAUCGGUAGCUGGUCUGAGAGGACGAUCAGCCACACUGGGACUGAGACACGGCCCAGACUCCUACGGGAGGCAGCAGUGGGGAAUAUUGGACAAUGGGGGCAACCCUGAUCCAGCCAUGCCGCGUGAGUGAUGAAGGCCUUCGGGUUGUAAAGCUCUUUGGCGGGGACGAUGAUGACGGUACCCGCAGAAUAAGCCCCGGCUAACUUCGUG
rnacentral:rRNA from 1 species